GACGAACGCUGGCGGCGUGCUUAACACAUGCAAGUCGAACGGAAAGGCCCUGCUUUUGUGGGGUGCUCGAGUGGCGAACGGGUGAGUAACACGUGAGUAACCUGCCCUUGACUUUGGGAUAACUUCAGGAAACUGGGGCUAAUACCGGAUAGGAGCUCCUGCUGCAUGGUGGGGGUUGGACAGGUUCGGCGGUUGGGGAUGGACUCGCGGCUUAUCAGCUUGUUGGUGGGGUAGUGGCUUACCAAGGCUUUGACGGGUAGCCGGCCUGAGAGGGUGACCGGCAACAUUGGGACUGAGAUACGGCCCAGACGCCUACGGGAGGGAGCAGUGGGGAAUAUUGUGAAAUGGGCGGAAGCCUGAUGCAGCAACGCCGCGUGCGGGAUGACGGCCUUCGGGUUGUAAACCGCUUUCGCCUGUGACGAAGCGGGAGUGACGGUAAUGGGUAAAGAAGCACCGGCUAACUACGUG
rnacentral:rRNA from 1 species